CAGCCGCCACGGUAAUACGGAGGGCGCGAGCGUUACCCGGAUUUACUGGGCGUAAAGGGCGUGUAGGCGGCCUGGGGCGUCCCAUGUGAAAGGCCACGGCUCAACCGUGGAGGAGCGUGGGAUACGCUCAGGCUAGAGGGUGGGAGAGGGUGGUGGAAUUCCCGGAGUAGCGGUGAAAUGCGCAGAUACCGGGAGGAACGCCGAUGGCGAAGGCAGCCACCUGGUCCACUUCUGACGCUGAGGCGCGAAAGCGUGGGGAGCAAACCGGAUUAGAUACCCCUGUAGUCCCUGUCUCUUAUAA
rnacentral:rRNA from 1 species